AGCCCUUUCCUAGGGACGCGGAGAGCGGAGAGUGCGGAGCCAAGGUCGCGGAGCGGAGCAUUCAUUCCUCGCCUGAGUGCUUUCUUCUCUUCAUCUAAUAUAUUUGAAGUUUUCUUUGGGUCAACCUCUAAAGACUCAUGUUGUCUGAGGAAGAAGCCUGGAAGAGGAGGGAGAGGAAAGAAAAGGAGUCAGAAAUGGCUCUUUCUCAGGAACGGUUGACCUUUGAGGAUGUGGCCAUCGAGUUCACUGAGGAGGAGUGGGAAUGCCUGGACCCUGGUCAGAGGGCCUUGUACAGGGACGUGAUGGUGGAGACCUACGGGAACCUGCUCUCCCUGGGAAAUGGGAGACUCAGAAAGGCUUUUGUAACCAGGAAGGCCCUGCAGAUUCCUGUUCAGUUUCAAUCCCCCCUUUUCUUUGGUACUCCU